rnacentral:misc_RNA from 1 species
AGCAGCAGUUAAUUCACCAGCCCUGAAAUCAAUGAAGCAAAUCACAUUACAUGUGUGAUACAACAAAAAAUGAUAGCUUAAAGAAUCGAAACUAGUUGAAGGCAUCAAAGUCAAGAAGAUCUGGUGUCAGAGAUAAAUUACAGUACGAAACCCUGCUAGGUGAUAGGGGUGAGUACUAUUCAGUUUGAAUCGAAUAAACCGAACCGUCUUAAUUCGAUAAUUUGGUUCUAUUUUUAAGAUAAUUCAGUUCAGU